rnacentral:rRNA from 1 species
AACGAACGCUGGCGGCAUGCCUAACACAUGCAAGUCGAACGAGACCUUCGGGUCUAGUGGCGCACGGGUGCGUAACACGUGGGAAUCUGCCCUUUGCUUCGGAAUAACAGUUAGAAAUGACUGCUAAUACCGGAUGAUGUCGAAAGACCAAAGAUUUAUCGGCAAAGGAUGAGCCCGCGUAGGAUUAGGUAGUUGGUGGGGUAAAGGCCUACCAAGCCGACGAUCCUUAGCUGGUCUGAGGGGAUGAUCAGCCACACUGGGACUGAGACACGGCCCAGACUCCUACGGGAGGCAGCAGUGGGGAAUAUUGGACAAUGGGCGAAAGCCUGAUCCAGCAAUGCCGCGUGAGUGAUGAAGGCCUUAGGGUUGUAAAGCUCUUUUACCAGGGAUGAUAAUGACAGUACCUGGAGAAUAAGCUCCGGCUAACUCCGUG